rnacentral:rRNA from 1 species
GGAUUAGAUACCCUGGUAGUCUUAGCUGUAAACGAUGAGCACUUGAUUGGAGGGUCCUCCAUAGCCUUCCAGUCGUAGCGAAAGUGUUAAGUGCUCCGCCUGGGGAGUAUGGUCGCAAGGCUGAAACUCAAAGAAAUUGACGGGGGCUCACACAAGCGGUGGAGGAUGUGGCUUAAUUCGAGGCUACGCGAAGAACCUUAUCCUAGUCUUGACAUGUAUGGAUUAACCCUGUGAAAGCAGGGCCACGCCUUCGGGUGGAACAUACACAGGUGCUGCAUGGCUGUCGUCAGCUCGUGCCG